UUUUUUUGCAGGAAGUUGGAGCAGGCAGACAGAGAGCCGGCCGACUUCCUCUCCCCUACGAUUCCCCAGGCGGUUCACCGUCUGUAACCUAUGAGCAGAUAAAUGUAAUAGGAAUACCGGAAGAUAACUGACAAAUAAAUAGGUGUCAAUUAGACACCUACAAAACGAGAAAAAUGGCUGCGAUGCCUACAAUUCCAACAGACCUGUUGAUAAAAUGACCAUGGUGGGUUUUUUAUUAUUACAUGUAAGCUUCAGCCAUUGGCAGUAGGCUACCACGGAGCUAUGGAAAAUAUACAGCACACCAAAACGUUUCUUUGAAUCCAGUCAAUUCCACCGCACCAUGGAGAAAGGUAAACAAUGAGGCGUGAUUUGCUGUUGCCUUUUGCUCCCUGAACCUGGUACCUUGGAUAGCGACGCUCGGGAAUCAUUUUACUACAGUAACGGAAUCGUAAGUGACGCGCCUCGCUAUGCUGUUCACAUUCGGGACGAAUGGCUGGCGAUUCCCUGUCUGGGACCCGACCUACACUAUCCAAUGGCUGGGGUAUGAGGCGCUCAAACGCUACACCAAGAACAUGCAGUGCAACGGGGGCAUGAAGGCGGUGAAACACAUUCGCUUCCUCGCGAGGAGGUGCAAGGCCAGGGGCUGUUGGACGGUGAUGACACCAUCCAUCAAAGAUGUCCUCUAAUACAAUGACUUUAUCAAAAUUGGUAAAUAAACUAAAAACCCUCAUCAAAUAA